GGCCCAAUAGGAGCUGCUCCAAAAGUGACAUCCUGAUCACGGCAUCUCCCUCGGAUGAACUCAACGGGGUCGUAGAAGUUACGAUCGGUUUGCAUUUAGUCUCUUUGGAAGGCAACACAGGUCGGACAGUGUUAUUCUUGAUCCUCACCAUAGCAAAUUGUCGAGGUGGGGGUUCUAGUGAUAAGAUCCGAAGAGAAUUUUAUGAUCCCUGGGAGGCUUCACUUCUCUCGAGUUAGCUAGAGAAGGGAUCGCUAAAGAAGAUCAGGACGCCGCCUG
rnacentral:lncRNA from 1 species